UCUCGGCAAAGAACUAAGAAGAAG
rnacentral:miRNA from 1 species